rnacentral:rRNA from 1 species
GGGCCCGCACAAGCGGUGGAGCAUGUGGUUUAAUUCGAUGAUACGCGAGGAACCUUACCAGGACUUAAAUGUAAGUUGCAUGAUUCAGAAAUGAAUCUUUCUUCGGACUACUUACAAGGUGCUGCAUGGUUGUCGUCAGCUCGUGCCGUGAGGUGUCAGGUUAAGUCCUAUAACGAGCGCAACCCCUAUCGUUAGUUGCCAUCAAGUAAAGUUGGGAACUCUAGCGAAACUGCCGGUGCAAACCGUGAGGAAGGUGGGGAUGACGUCAAAUCAUCACGGCCCUUACGUUCUGGGCUACACACGUGCUACAAUGGCCGGUACAGAAAGCAGCCACUAUGCGAAUAGGAGCUAAUCUUUAAAACCGGUCUCAGUUCGGAUCGCAGUCUGCAACUCGACUGCGUGAAGCUGGAAUCGCUAGUAAUCGCAGGU